UGCAGAAGAUUAUAUUGAUGAGUACCAAGAAGCGUUACUUAAGUCAUUGGGAUCAGACAGACGGAAGGAUCAUUUUAGAAACUUUUUUGCUAUAUCGAACACACAAUCAUCGGAAGCCGAAGUUGAAAAAUUACGUCAAUAUAUAUUCGCAAUUGCAAAGCAACAGGAACACUGGGGCGUAAAGGUGCCAGUAAAAUGGAUACCUUUCGGGAAUAAAAUAGAGGAAUUGCGAUUAGAGGGGAAAACAGUGGUGACUGUCAAUGACCUUUGGGGGAUUAAUAAAUCUCUUCCGUCUCCUCUAUCAACUAAGAAGGAGCUCAUUUCAUUCUUGGUAUUACAUCAUGAUAUUGGAAAUAUUAUAUUUUUUGAAGAUAUAGGUGAAAGUGUGAUAAUAUGUCCACAGUGGUUUGCUAAUGCAUUGCGUUGUAUUGUUGGCGCAAAAUGCUUCAUAGCACCAAAUUUGCAUAUUGAUUGGGAACAGUACGAAAAGACUGGCUUCUUACAAAAAAAGUUGAUAGAACAUUUAUUCAAAGAAACAGAGUCUUCCCUGUCUGAGUUCAAAGAACAUAUCUUUAACGUUAUGGAGAAAUAUGACAUUUUAGUUUGUGCAGAUAUUCUGGACCAGGAAUAUGACAUGUAUAACAAUGAUUUUAACUAUCUCGUUCCGUGCAUGGUUCGUACAUCUGGAUGGCAUAUAGUAAGUAACAAAUUUAUAAAUUUUACUAAGUCUGCAAUCAUUUGCUUUGAAUAUGAUUUUCUCCCGUCGAUGUUUUUUUUCAUGUGGUAGUAUAUUUCCUUCGCCGGUUCAAACUUACUAAUGAUUCCGACAAUCCAUCUGGCUAUGUUGGUGAACUAUACAGAGAUGUGGCACUAUUUGAUAUUGACGAUACAGGAUGCGAAAAAGUUCUUCUCUGUUCUCACAAAAACAGUAUUCAAGCUCAAAUAUGGAUAUGGGGAAUUGGAAUGGAAAAUACUGGAAGGAUGAUUCGAUGUCUCCUUGAGGAUGAUAUGUUUGUUAUUCAAAGGAAAUAUGAUGUAAUGAAAGCGGUAGAAAUAAAGAUAAAAUGCCCAGAAAGCACCUUGAUCAGUAACAAAGGAGGAAUAAACCUUGAGAGUCUUAGACCAGUUAGAGAAUAUUGGUGUAAAGAACAUAACAUUAUACACGAGUGUCUGUUAUUCAAGCAAUAUUGGAUGCUGAAUGUGAUACUGGAUGACACCGUUUCAGAAGAAGAACAGAAUUUCAUACGUGUCAGCAAGGCAUCGGUCGAAGUGCUGACAGACAUGCUAUAUGAUCUUACUUAUGCAAGCGCAUGUUCAAUCACCAAACCCAGAAAUGAAUGUGACAUCACUUAUCUGUAUGGCGAAUUACGACGUCAAGGAUUAUGUCUUCCGUCACGUGGGAGAUGGGGCGGAGAUAAUUGGCCAUGUGAGCGAGUUGCUGUAAAUGUUGGAGAUGAUAUUGAAAGAAUACGGCUGAACAGAAAUAGGCUUCAACAUACAUCACACUUCGAAAUGUCGAUCUUCGAAUUCACCGACAGAUGGAAAAAGUUGAUAGUCCUUGCGAAAAGGUUUGACGCUCGGCUGACACCUGCAACGUUUUACGAGGAUAGGCUCAUCCGGCUCAACCACUACCUGGGAAGAAAACGAGAUUUUCAAAACUUCCAAACAAAAGAAUCUAAAGUGAAAGUUCUUAAACCAUACAGGCGAUGUACUCGAAACACUGUUUAGGCCUACAAGGUCAAAUCACGGCAGCAUUAUAUAAACCAGACAGCUGUUGUGUGUUACUAGGUCACCUAGGAUAAAGGAGUUUAAAUGUUUGCUCCAGAAGAGAGCCAACCAUGCACUUGUCAAUUUGAAUUGGUUGUCACCAUCUCACCUCAAAGCACGAGAGAAGUAGGAGCAAAGACUGUUCUAAAUGAUAUAUCUGAGAAAUGGUAAAUUAAUGUAGACUGUUACUGUGCGAAAGGGGUUGUAAGAUCAACGUGUACUACAAAGCAUGGAUCAUAUUCAUAUAUCAUAAAAAUUUACGUUAUUAACAUUUAUUUGACAUGUCACUUGACAAGCACACAUCAUUAGUAGAAGCAGCGUCAGCGCUUAAAGCAAGAAUAAUAUAAAUUAUUCCAAUUGUAUAGAUAGUGUGUUUAAAAGUUUUGUUAUAAGUUCAAAGCUUUUUUUAUCAAUACAUUUGUAUACAGACAGUCUGACGCGUCCUUUUUUCAUUGCCCUUAAGGUAAUACGUAAUGUUUGUAGACAGUGCGGCCAGUAUGUGUGUUGUUACUUUAGAAGUUUCAUUUCAUGCAUCUAUGUACAAAUGUAUGUAGACAAUCUGUCGAGUAGCCUUUUUAAUACUUUAAAUAAUGCAAUCAAUGUAUGUAGACAGUGUGUCAGUUAGCUCUGUCAUAAUUCUAAAGGAUUUUUAAAAUACAUGUACGUAGACACUGAGUCAUGUAGCGUUAAUCAUUAUUUGAAAGUUAAAAUCCAUGUAUGUAGAUAAUGUGUCCAGUGAUGUUUUCCUUACUUUAAAUUGUUAUUUUAUGUAUUGAGGCAGUGUAUCCAGUGACUUUGUCGUUAUUUUAAGUUUGUUAUCCAGUAUGAACAUAGUGUGUCAUAUAUAGCUGUGUCAUUAUUGCAAAGAUUGUAACUUAUGUAUGAAGCCAGUGUGUCAAGUAUCUUUUUUUUUUUAUUUCAAGUGUAUAAUAUAUAUAUGUUAUGUAAAUAGUGGGUCCAGUACCUUUGUCGUUACUAUAAGUAGGUAGUUCGUGAAUGUAGACAGUGUGUCAAAUAGCCGUGACAUUACUUGUAUUUUUAAACAUCUGUGUGUCAAGUAACUGCAAUGGUGAUACUCCAUCAAUGUAAACAGUGUGUCAAAUAGUGUACUCGUGUAUGUAUACAUAAUGUAUAAAAGGUUUGUUUUAACAUUUACGGUUUUAUUCAAUGAUUGUAGAUUGUGUGUUAAUUAUGGCAUGGUAUUGGUUGCAAAAAAUAAAUAUUUUUCAUUUAUA